rnacentral:SRP_RNA from 1 species
ACAGGGCACAGUGGCGCGUGCCUGUAGUCCCAGCUACUCAGGAGGCUGAGGUGGGAGGAUCACUUGAGCCCAGGAGUUCUGGGCUGUAGUACGUUAUGCCGAUAGGGUGUCCACACUAAGCUUGGCAUCAAUAUAGUGACUUCCCGGGAGUGGAGGAUCACCAGGUUGCCUAAGGAGGGGUGAACCCGCCCUGGUGGGAAAUGGAGCAGGUCAAAACUCCGGUGCUGAUCAGUAGUGGGAUUGCGCCUGUGAAUAGCCACUGCACUCCAGCCUGGGCAACAUCCCGAGACCCCUUCUCU